CCUACGGGGGGCAGCAGUGGGGAAUAUUGGACAAUGGGCGCAAGCCUGAUCCAGCCAUGCCGCGUGGAUGAUGAAGGCCCUAGGGUUGUAAAGUCCUUUCGGUAGGGAAGAUAAUGACGGUACCUACAGAAGAAGCCCCGGCUAACUUCGUGCCAGCAGCCGCGGUAAUACGAAGGGGGCUAGCGUUGCUCGGAAUCACUGGGCGUAAAGCGCACGUAGGCGGAUCUUUAAGUCAGGGGUGAAAUCCCGGAGCUCAACUCCGGAACUGCCUUUGAUACUGAGGAUCUUGAGUCCGGGAGAGGUGAGUGGAACUGCGAGUGUAGAGGUGAAAUUCGUAGAUAUUCGCAAGAACACCAGUGGCGAAGGCGGCUCACUGGCCCGGUACUGACGCUGAGGUGCGAAAGCGUGGGGAGCAAACAGGAUUAGAUACCCCUGUAGUC
rnacentral:rRNA from 1 species